UACAUACCGACAACUGGCCGCGAACCUCCGUCUUGAUCUCGUCAGGCAUGACCUUCCAAGACUUCCAUUUGAUCGGGCAAUGGCUCCGAACGACAUGACCAAUGUCGUGGGCCAAGGAGCUAUGCAACUCCGCCGUCGGUGCAGCCCGAUGUCGCUCGUCGUAUCCGAUGUUGAUACGACUGUUGGUCACCCGAGUGACCUUCGCCUUCUUCAACUGCCGACACGGCCCUCAGGUGUUCUUCUUGGCUGCAAAGAAAGAUGACAUUAAUGUUAAAUAAAUAACAAAUUUAACUAUAAAAUACAGACAAAAACAAAAACAAAAACAAAACCAAAAACAAAAACAAAAAUAAAAACAAAAACAAAAAUAAAAACAAAAAUAAAAACAAAAAUACAAAUAACUAGAGUUCAAGGAAAUCUAUACCUGGUUGUGACCCCGACGCAUUAGUGGAUGUGGUGUCGGUGGGGCUGGCGGCCCGAUGACGCCGCCUGGUGCUAACAAGCUGCGCCAUUGAUGAAGCUGAUGAAGCAGGCGCCUGGGACCCUGCGGGACCAACUGCCAAGUGGUCCAUCAGUGCUGGUGCAGUGGCAACCGUUGUCGGCUGAGCCGGGGGCUCCAAACUAUGCGUAGUCGUCACCGCCCUACAUCGUCUAAUUAGGUUUGACAUCUGCACAAUUUCAUUAAUACACAUACAAAUUAAUAAAAUAUACGAAUAUUUGAAAGCACAUACAAUUUUAUUAAGAUUCUUGACCUAGGGUUUGCGAGUUCGGAGUAUUCGGGACUCGAUCCACGAUCUGUCGAAUCCUAGACAAUCCUAGAAAUACAAGGUACACCAUACGUGAGUUUGAAUUUGAUCCAACGGUCCGAACAUAACAAAACCGGAAAUCGCACAAUAGGCAAAAUCCGUUCGAGACUCAAACAGUAACCAAAUUCCAAUCCGAAAAGACCUACGAGCUCGUGACAACUAGGGGAUUGCACUGGGACCCAAUGCAUGACUGCUACAGUGUCCCACCCGCCACCCCACGCACCGGCAGCGUGUGGGGGUGUCCAAAGCGAUACCAAUCGCCGAAAAAUUCUAAAAACUAAGGGCCAAGGUUCCUACCCUAGGUUGAAAACAUCAAUUGGAGCCACUUUUGUUCUCGGACCUACCCCGAAAAAUGACCAGAAGUGGCCGGAAUUGAAAUUCAAAAACCGGCCGAAACUUAGGGUUUCAAAUCCAUUGCCCUAUUGUAAUAAUUACUUAAAUCCUACCCAACCAUCAGCUAAAGCAUCAAAAAUAGUCCAGAAACCAUACCUCAGGUGUCAGAUUUGGUCGCCGAAGGAGAGAGAAUGACGGCGGCGCAGAUUCGGUGAAAACCGAGGAAAUUAUGACGGCUGGCUCGACGGUGACGGCGGGGAAGCUCCGGGGUACCAAGGUUGUGGUGGCGCGGUCCAAAUUCCACUGGGGUAGGGGCAGAGGUGACGGCGGAGAGAGAGAGAGAGAGAGUUAGGGCAAAAAUCAGAAUCUGGGGAAGAAGAAGGCCAUCGCGUCGUUUCUGAAAUUUUAUUCGAUUUUGCGCAACGAAUAAAUAAAAGCGCCGCGCAAAAUAUUUUAAAUGACUCUUGCGCGAUGACAUAAGUAUAACUUCCGUAGGGCAAUAUUGUGAGUUCGCCAAAAUUUGGUAUCAGGGUAGGGUUGCGCGGUUUUGCGCGACGCAUUGAAAUUUUUUUCGUCGCACAAGGUUGUCAAUCCGCCAAAAUAUUGGGACUUAGGGUUUAGCGGGAGAGAUUGAAAACUUUGCGCGACGCUGUCCCUAUUCGUCGUGCAAUGUUGUAAUUCCGUCAAAAUUUGGGGUUUAGGGUUUAUUAGGCAGAGAGAUUGCGCGACAAAUAUGGACAGCGUCGCGCAAGUCUGCUUUCUGUACACUUGAAAAAAAUUUGGACCAAGUGUUCAAGGGGAAAGAUGGUGAAAGGGCUGACUGAGAUUGCGCGACGACGAAGUCUACGUUCGUCGCGCAAGACUGUUUUCUGCAGGCUUUAUGCGACCAAUUAAACUUAUUUGUCGCGCAAUAUUGUAAUUCUGCCAAAAUUUGAGGUUUAGGGUUUAUUGGGCAAAGAGAUUGCGUGACGAAAAUGGACAGCGUCGCGCAAGUCUGCUUUUUGUACACUCGAAAAAAAUUUGAACCAAGUGUUCAAGGGGCAAGAGGGUGAAAGGGCUGACUGAGAUUGCGCGACGACGAAGUCUACGUUCGUGGCGCAAGACUGUUUUCUGCAGGCUUUGUGCGACCAAUCAACCUUAUUCGUCGCGCAAUAUUGUAAUUCCACCAAAAUUUGGGGUUUAGGGUUUAUUGGGCAGAGAGAUUGCGCGACGAAAAUGGACAGCAUCGCGCAAGUUUGCUUUCUGUACAGUCGAAAAAAAUUUGGACCAAGUGUUCAAGGGGCAAGAGGGUGAAAGGGCUGACUGAGAUUGCGCAACGACAAAGUAUACAUUCGUCGCGCAAGACUAUUUUCUGCAGGCUUUGUGCGACCAAUCAACCUUAUUCGUCGCGCAAACCCUAAACCCUAAACCGUGGAAACCCUAAACCCGAAACUAGUUUUAAUGAUCCAACCGGCAAACUUGUUUUUUUAUACUUCGAGAUCGUAUACGCCGAAAAUCGGAAAAAACAAACAUUAAGAGAUCAAGUAACGGACAAAACUUUUCGACGGUUCCAAAUGAAAAGUCAUGAUUUAACGGUUAUUUUAACUUCGAUUUUUAUGAUUUUUUACAGCUACAUUUCUUGACCCUAUAUGAAUACAAUUACUGAAUUUGAUCUUCAAUUUAAGAUGUUUACAGUAGGGGGAUACCACAUAAUCUUAUGUUAUAUUUAACGAAAGUAUAAAUAAACUAUUCAUUGUUGGUGAAUAUAUGGUUUUGAUGGCAUAUGCAUUCUACGAAACUAGCUUCAGAAAUCCAGCUGUCAAACUUGUUUGUUUAUACUUCGAGAUCUUAGACCCUAAAAAUCAGAAAAAAAAAAUUCAGAGAUCAAGUAACGGGACAAAACUUUUCAACGGUUAUAAAUGAAAAGUCAUGAUUUAACGGUUAUUUUAACUCCGAUUUUGAUGAUUUUUUACAGCUACACUCCUUGACCCUAUAUAAAUACAAUGAACUAACUCGAUCGUCAAUUUCAUAUAUAUAUAUAUGUAUAUAUUAUAUUAUAAAAUAAUAUAUAUUUGCGCGACAAGAGGUAUCCUGUCAUCGAGCAAAAUUUCAUCGCGUGACGGAUGUUAGGUUGUCGCGCAAUGUUUUAACUUUACGCGACGAGUGUAUUGUGGGUCACGCAAACUAUGCGCGACGAGGAUUAAUUUGUCGCGCAAGGAUUUUCAUUUUUGAAAAAUGUUUGGUGUCAAUAAUUUUCAAACUUUGUAUGAAAAGAGUUUAGAUAUAUUUAUUUAUCAAUGUUUUAUAACAAAUUUUUUUUUCAUUUUUCAUUUUUUUGUAUAUGUCAAUUUAUUUAAUAAUGUCUCACGCGGUUGUUGUUGCGUUGACCUAACUCGCUUGUUCUUUUUCUUUUAUAAAGUGAAGUGAUAAACUUUCAUAAACUCAUGAAAAGUCGAUCAAAGUUAGAAUUGGAUACAACCCCCUUAAGUUAGAUUGUUUAUCAUUUUCAUUUUGUAAACGUGUUGUGUCAAAAAAAAAAUUUUAAAUUAUUAUUAAAAGGGUUUGGAUAUAUUGAUUUACCAAUGUUUUAUAACUAUAUUUAUUUUAAUAAUGUUUCAUUUCUCCACAUAUAUAAGGUUUGGAUAUAACAACUACAUAUAUUCAAACAUUUGUGUUACACAAAAUCUGUACACUAGCAUAAGAAAAUUACAAAAAAAUUCAUUAUUCAUCAUCUGAACUAUAAUAACUUUCGUUAUCGUCGCUAUCAUCACUUUCGGUCUCCCAAUCCUCCUCCUCCUCCUCCUUCUCCUCUAUAACUAUAUCAUCAUCGUUGCUCGGGCCCACUGCAAUAUCGAAUCUUGGAAGAUCACCGAGGUCAAUUGUAAUUGACUGAAUCGGUAUUUCGAUUGAAGACACUCCUUGUAUUUGAAACGGUUCUUGUAUAACAUGUGUAUCUCGAAGUGUUUGCGCAUCAUUUUCCAAUGAAGAUUCUAAACGUUGGUCAGCCACAUUGUCGACGUCGUUGUCAGUUGGGUCUAGUUCUGGUAUAGCAUACACGUUCCUAUGAUCCAUCUUCUGAACAACUUUCCAACUGCUCCCGGCUUUAGGUCAUCUAGAUACACAAUUUGUGUUGCCAUGUUUGCCAAAAUGUAAGGGUCGUCAUCAUACCAAGUUCUGUUAAUGUUCACAGAUAGUAAGCCAUGGUCGAUUUUAACACUUCCCGGCCUAUUUGGAUUCCUAUUAAACCAUCGACACUUAAACAUGAUCACUUGGUAUCGAUCUUUGUAAAGCAAUUGAACGACAGUUGUGAGUUUGCCAUAGAAAUCAAUGUUCGUACUUUCGCCUCCACCUGAGACAUGGACACCGUUGUUUUGCGUACACAACUUGUCAUCUCGUGCAGCCCCCAAAAAUUUGACGCCGUUAAUAUAACAACCCGAAAACAAUUCAGUGCGAAUCGGGCCGAACGCCAAGUUAUAUAACUCAUCACUGUAAGUGGGGGAAUUCGAUGAUUUCAACUUAUUCACCUAAUAUAAUACAAAACCAUUCACAUGUUAGUCUGACAAAAUUAAAUACUACAAUUUAUAUUUGUCAAAUACAAAACACUUAUAACUUACAGAAUCCAAAAACCAUUGUGGAAACAAUUCACAGUGUUUCUGCGCAACUAAAUGUGAUGGAUGUUCUCGCUUUCAUCAUCUCUUCAUGCUCAUCUAAGUAUGCCAUUAUCUCAUCACAAUUGUUCAGUACGAACCAAUGCGCUACCUCCAUGUCAUUUCUAGAAAACGACUCUCCUCAUCCAGGAUCUCCAAAGGGUCGUGCGCUUUGGACAAAAACAGAAAGUUUUUCCUUUCUCAUACCUCCGUCAUUAUUGCGCUGAGGACGAUUAAAAGCCAUCUCCACAUCUUUUAAAUACAUUCCACAAAAAUUAAGCGACUCAUAUUGAACCCAAGCCUCUAUAAUUGAUCCUUCGGGCUUGGCCCUAUUGCGUACACUUUUUUUCAGCUCUCCGAGAAGCCUGUCAAAAUAAAACGAUAUGAUACAAAUUAGCAAGCCUGUGAUAAUGAUGCAUACACAAACGAUAAGGAUUAUAUACCUUUCUAUUGGAUACAUCUAGCGAUAGUUGAUAGGACCAGCAAGUAAUGCCUUUUCUGGCAAGUGAACCAUCACGUGCAUCAUACUUGUGAAGAAAGCUAGAGGAAAUAUCAUCUCAAACUUGCAUAGGACUUGGACAAUGUCAUGGCGCAACUGAAACAUGUCUGUCUUUCGCAAUGUUUUUGCCGUCAGUUGGGAAAAAAAUCUGGACAACAACAUGAUUGGCUUCACAACAUCUUCCGGCAAUAGAUGUCGAAUACCCACAGGAAGUAGGCGUUGCAUAAACACAUGGCAGUCAUGGCUCUUCAGUCCAGUAAAUUUACCCCCGUCAACAUUAACGCAACGUGCGAUAUUAGAAGCAUACCCAUCAGGAAACUUUACAGAUGAUACAAACUUUAGAAACUCUUUUUUUGUCAUUCGGUUUCAUAGAAAAGAAUGCAAGAUCCCUUCUAGCUUUAUCCAUGUCCCUGUUCAUCCAUAAACCCUUCGUAUGCCCAUUCUUUGCAAAUCAAGACGGGCUUUGAAUGUGUCCUUUGUCUUGCCCUCGAUAUCUAGAAUCGUGCCCACUAAUGUGUCAAAUACAUUUUUCUCAACAUGCAUCACAUCUAGAUUGUGCCUCAAUUUGAGUUUCGACCAAUAUGGGACCUCAAAAAACAUAGGCUUGUGAGUCCAGUUCAUAUGUGUAGAAGGUCUGGGCCGACUAACUGUUUUUCCGAACGGAGCAAAAUCCAAACGGUUAAGCUGUUCUAAGAUCUCAUCACCGGACUAUUCUCUAGGUCUGAGGCGACGCUCUGUGUUCCCGUCGAACUCUUUAUCUUUUUCCCGCCACUCGUGGUCCCAUGGCAACCAUCUCCGAUGACCAAGGUAACAAACUUUUCCCGCGUGCUAACCAGAAGUUACAUCUUCCUUGCAUACAGGACAUGCCAUAUAACCCUUUGUGCUCUACCCAGAAACCAUUGUAUACGCUGGAAAAUCAUUCACAGUCCACAUAACUGCUGCCAGCAAAGUGAACAUCUUCCCAGUUGAUUUAUCGUACGUGCGAACACCGUUUGUCCAUAAAUCCUUCAGCUCAUCAACCAGCGGCCUUAAGUAAACAUCCAUUGACCUCAUAGGAUCCUCAGUUAUCAAAACAGUCAUCAUCAUUUAAUCUUCUUUCAUACAUUUCCAAGGCGGAAAAUUAUAUGGGAAUACGAAAAUCGGCCAAGUGCUGUGGUGUUCGUUUAGAACCCCAUAUGGAUUGAAUCCGUCAGUGGCAAGUCCUAAUCUCACAUUUCGGGGAUCAGCAGCAAACUCGGGGAACAUUCGAUCGAACUCUUUCCAUGCCUCCCCAUCUGCAGGAUGCCGCAUCACAUCAUCGUCUACCCAUUUUUCCUUAUGUCAUCUCAUGUCUAUGGCAGUAUGCGUCGACAUAUACAAUCGCUGCCACCUAAGUUUUAGGGGCAGAUAACGCAUGACUUUUUGUGGGAUCUUAGUCGUUCUAUUCUGAGAUGUCAUUUUGAACCUCGACUCUUUGCAUAUAGGGCAUGUAUCCAACGUUUCAUGCUCCUUGUAGAAUAACAUGCAAUUAUUUUUGCAAGCAUGAAUUUUUUCAUAACCCAAUCCAAGACCAUUCAACACCUUCUACGCGUGUUUAUGAUCUUUCGGCAAACAAUUGUCCGUCGAAAGCAUUCUCUUGAAAAACCCCAACAAGUAAUCGAAACACAGGUUCGACAUACGAUACUUUAUUUUUUCGUGCAUUAGCUCUACAAUGGCCGUGAGAACAGAAAAGCUCUCGCACCCUGGGUAUGACUCUUGGUUGGCAUUUUCUAACAGUUUUUCAUAUUGUUCAAACUCUGCGCUAUCUAUUGGUGUAGGCACGUCAUCUUCCCUUUCAUAAUUGAUGUUGGUCGAUGCAAAUGGAAAAGCAUCCUGUAUAAUAUCCAUGACUUGAUCAUUAGGAUCCACAAUAGGUUCAACAUUGUCCAUUCUUGUGGCAUUUGAAGACGAAGCAUGGUCUAAUUGUUCCCCAUGAAGGUUUCAAAUGCUAUAUGCCUCAAUCAUUCCAUUCCUUACUAAAUGAAAUCCAACAUUUUCAAUUGUCUCCCACAACGUGUUAUUACACCUCCUACAAGGACAACGAAUUCUAGUUGCACCCGGGUUGUGUCUACGUGCAAACUCAAUAAAAUCAUCGAUUCCAUCCAAGUAUUCAUCUGCGCAUCUAUUCGGGUUAUGUAUCCACCUUCUGCUCAUAAUUCCUGAAACCACAAUCACAACAACUUCAUACGAAGUUAUAAUGUCACCUUAUGCCUCCGGUAAGGACCCUAUCCCAUUCGGGAAUGCAUAGUCCUGUCACGUAACCUACGGCUACAUCAGAUUAGAUUUCGACAUGGAUGAAUUUCGACAGCAUCUCGAUACAGUUCUUGAGGUGGGCAUAAGUAGAAAUACCUACGUACCACCCGAAGAACGUACUAAGAUGCCACCGAAAUCUCCACAAUUGAAACAUAAUCCUGUAGCCGUAGAUUACGUGACAACACUAUGCAUUACCAAACUGUCCAAAUAGUGGGACAAUUCAAGAAUUAAUUGGACCGCAGUCAUGCUUUACGCAUCCAUGUACGAAAUCCAACUAAUCUCGAACGGAAAACUAAGUGUUACUAAACAUACAAAUAAAAGUACGAAGUUAAUUUCAAUUAACUUCGUACAUCACAACACAUUGUGCUACGUCACGCACAAUUUAACAACAUAAUAUAAAUAUAUCUUCACAAAAAAAAUAUACACAUAACAAACUAACUUUAACAUUUUUAAUAUAUAAAACGAAUAAAAUACCUUCUCAAUCGUUCUCCACCAAUCGCUAAUUACAAAUAUCCCUAACAAGAACAAAAUUAAUAGCGUUAGUACGAAUUUACAUUAAUACUUAUAAACUAACGACAAAAAAUACUUACUCAAUGAACGUACUGAAUUUCCAGCAGAGGCAGUGGCAGAGAGGUUGAGAGAGAGGCAGAAACAAAAAAUUUUUGCAUUCUGCCUCUGCAAUGGCAGAAUUCUGAUAUGAAGAAGAAGGACUUUGCGCGACGAAUCAUAAAUUUCGUCUCGCAAACUGCCGUUGCGAAAAACCAUUUUUCAGUCACACAAAACGAUUUUUUUUGUCACGCAAAAACUUGUCGACAAAAAACUUUUGCGCCACGCAUGACAUUUUCGUCACACAAACUUUCGUCGCAAAAAAACAAAAUUCCGUCGCGGAAAAAAAAAAUCCCCCCUCAAUUAUUUUGGCGCCAAAAGAAAAAUAUCCCUCGUUUUCUUACGCGACGAUAAAUGGUUUCGUCACGCUAAGUUGUCUUUUGCGACGAAACCUGUCGUCGCACAAGUUUUCGCAGCCAAUUAACGGGAUCGAUCCCUGUUUUUUGUUCACCUUUACGCGAUGAAGUGUCCCAUCGUCGCGCUAGGUUUUCUUACGCGACGAUUCUUCUCACCGCGCAAGUGUUUGGAGCCAUCAAAAAACCCGGGUUUUUAUUUGCUCACUUUGUGCGACGAAGGUAAAUGUCUGUCGCGCUAAGAGGUUUUGCGCUUCGAAAAAUUUGGUCGCGCAAGUUUUCAAUUUUUUGUGUGACAAAGCCUUUUUUCCGUUCCUGUAUUGCAUUUUGCGCGACGAACUUGUAUUCGUCGAGCAAAAUCUUGUCGCGCAAAUAGUAAAACGUAGUCGUGGCUGGGCCUAUUAUGACUAUUGAAGAUACAAAUAUGCUGAUUAAGGUGCUCUUAUCUCUGUAGAUUUCCUUCUGCUUGUAGUUGUAGUCGAUAUGGUGGUGUUUCCCCCCUCCGUGCUUCCAUAUGUUAUAAAAAAGUUUAUUAUCCUUUAGCUUUUGAGAGUGUCUGUUUAUUUUUAGUUAAAAAUGGCUCAUUUAUACCAGCAAUAAAUUAUCCACAACAACAACAUCAUAAUCUUUUUGCUCUGCCAUCACAAAGUUCAAAUCUCAAUCCCCACCAGCAAGACAAAAUAGGCUAUGCAUUUGUCUUUAUUUGGAAAUGGUUGAUGCCAUCACUAUCAUAUGAUAUUUUGCAAUACCAUUUAAGCUUUAGUUCAGUGAAAUUUUAUAUAGGUUUUGCAUUGUAGUUUUGAAAACUGCAUUGCAGUUUUGGUAAUUACAAUUGGAGUUCUGGGUUAAUAAUGGGUUUGUUGUUUAACACUUUUGUCAAUUUUUGGGUUUUGGGUGAUAAAACUGUGAAGGAUUUUUAUUGGGAUUUUUGUAUUUGGAGCUUAAUAAGCUGUUGUUUAGCAUAUUGUUAAGCAUGUUGUGUUUGAUCUGGGUUUUGUCUUAUUUCAAAACAAGUGUCUGAUAUAUAUAUGUUAUGAAUAUUCUAUGUGAUUCUUGCUAUUAUUAUUGAAAUUUUCAUAAUCUCGUAUGUGUUCACAUCUGUAUCUUGUAUGCAAGUUGCCAAAGACCCAUCUGGGAAAGAGAUCCAUGCACUCGAACAACAUAUAAAGAACUUGCUAAAUCCAUCAACUCCUCUAUUUUUCAACACUCUUUAUGAUCCAUACAGAGAAGACAUAGACUUAUUCCAUGGAUAUCCUUUUAGUUUCCGUGGGGUUGUACCUACAACUGUUUCUCUUGACCUGUGGCUCAACAUCCCUGACUAUGAUGCUCUACCCAGCUUGCCAAUCCUCUAGAAAGGAACACUAGGUAUAAAAUAGUGAUCCCAAAUUACACAAAUUACUGAUUGUAUGCUUCUUUUUUCCUUUUCUUUUCCUUUUCAACUAGACCUAAUUACUACUAAAAAGCCAUUUUUUACAUAAUUGCCUGUUCACUUCUGCUUGAAUUUUUUCAGGUUUGUUGAUGUAGUUCUGACCAUACAUGGGGAACUCUAUUUCCUAUGUAUGGUAUGAACUUGGCAUUCAACCGUGAACUGAUUGGACCAGCAACGUACUUUGGACUCAUGGGUAUUGGUGAGCCAAUUGGAAGAUAUGGUGAUAUGUGGGCUGGCUAGUGCAUGAAGGUAAUUUGAAUUGCUUCAUUUUUAUUCCUUGUUUAUGUCUACUGAGAGCUUGCUAUUCUGUAUGAAAUAAAUGACUCUUCCAUGGUAUAAGCUCACUUACUAUGCAUUUGUCUUGAUUUGGAAAUGGUUGGUGCCGUCACUGUUAUAUGAUAUUUUACAAUACCAUUUAAGCUUUAAUUCAGUGAAAUUUUACACAGGUUCAACAUUUUAGUUUUGCACAAACUACAUUGCAGUUUCAGAAACUGCAUUGCAGUUUUGGUAAUUACAAUUGGAUUUUUGCUCUUUCUUUGGCCUUCAACCUCACCAAUUUGAAGAGUAGAGGCUACCAAUUUUAAAACUAAAGCUCCCUAAAAAUAAUAUAAAUAUCGGUACAUUAUUUACAAAAAAAAAGUCAGUUAUUUUCGUAAUUGACAUUUCUGUACAUUUUUCAUACAUUAAAAUUAGGUACAUAAUUAUAAAAAUAUAGAUAUAUUAUUUACAAAAUAAAAUAUAGGUACUAUUUAUAAUAUAAAAAUUUUUAUUUUUAUUUUCAAGAAAAUAGGUACGUUGUAUAAUUGAAAUUUCUGCACAUUUUUCAUAAAUUAAAAAUGGGUACAUUAUUUAGAAGGGGGAAAAAAAAAGGUUCAUUACAAUAGGUACAUUAUUAGAGAAAAAAAUAGGUACAUUAUUUAGAGAAAAAAAAUAGGUUCAUUUAAAACAAAAUUUCAUAAAACAAACAAUAAAUAGAUUAUCAAAUUAUUUUUCACACAUCAAGUAAUAGGUACAUUAUUUGGAGAAAAAAAUAGAUACAAAAUUUAGAGAUAAAAAUAGGUUCAUUAUACUAGGCAAAUUAUUAGAGAAAAAAAAGGGUUCAUUAUUUGAAAAGAGAAAUAGGUUCAUUAUACUAGGUAAAUGAUUAGAGAAGAAAAAAUAGAUAGAUUAUUUGGAGAGAAAAAAUAGGUUCAUUUAGAAAAAUAGGUACAUUGUUUUACUAGGUACAUUAUUAGAGAAAAAGAAAGAGUAAUGCUACUCUUACCAUGUUUGUAUACCACAUUCCCAUACCAUCUUAUGUGGUAGAUGAGAUGGACAACCACAUCAAUUAAAUUAAUCUAAGGGUAGUGCUGCUGCUACCAUAUUUUUUAUACCACAAUUGUAUACCAUCUUAUGUGACAGUUGAUGUGGACAUCCACCCACAUCAUCUAAGGUGAUUCGAAUUAUUAUUUCUUUUUAUUAUUUUUAAUUAACAAAAAAUUAAAAAACAAAAACAAAAACUAUCGAGAAAUUACCCUAGGGUUUGAUGCUUGCCUCUCCACAGCCGCUCCAGCUACACUCCACUCCCUUCCUCUUUGGCACACAAACAACAAUCCAGAUCUCUCAAUAUAUUGAUAUAAACUAAAAGAAAUCUAAAUAAAUUUUAUUAAUCUAUUGUUAUGAACCAAAGUAAAGUGGACAACUCCUAAGAAGUGUCAAGGGGCUCCAUUCAAAAUAAUGACCCUACCUUGAAUUAAGAAAAUUACUUUAUAUUGUUUCCAUAUGAAUUCUUGAACUUCUCUAGUUCAGAUCUUCUCUUCCCUCUAUUCUAGAUGUGAAAAUUUCCUCCGAUGGAAGGGUUGGUGGGAGAGAGAGGGUAAGUAAGAAGAGGUAAUAAGUUUUAAGUAACACAAUUACAUUUGGAAAAUUAAAAAGAAAUUUUAAUAUAUUUGGCUAUUUAAUUGACAUGGCAAUAACACCUAAGCUGACACAUAAUGUGGUAUAAAAAUGUGGUACAAGUAGCAUUAUUCUUAAUUUAACAUUUUAUUUUAUUUUAUAAUUUAUUGACACGUUUUAAUUGAUGUGGUUGUCCACUUUAUCUGCCACAUAAGAUGGUAUGAGAAUGUUAUAUACAAAUGUAGUAGCAUUAUUUGGAGAGAUAAAAUAGGUUCAUUUAAAAAAAAUUGUUUUACAUAAAACAAACAAUAAAAAGAUGAUAAAAUUAUUUUUCAUAAAACAAGUAAUAGGUACUUUAUUUAGAGAAAAAAAAAGGUACAUUACUUAGAGUAAAAAAAAAAAAAGGUACAUUAUUUAGAGAAAAAAUAGGUUCAUUUAAAAAAAUAUUUUUCAUAAAACAAAAAAUAUAUAGAUUAUCAAAUUAUUUUUCAACAUAAUCAGAAUGUACACUAUUAUUCAUUAAAUUAUAAUAAAAUAGAUUAUUAGUAGUAUAAUUCAUAAAAGGAAAAUAGCAUAAUUUUUUUAUUAAAUAAACCAAGCGUUAAUCACUCAUAGAUUACUAAUACGUUAAUGUUGAAUUUAAUAUUUAAUUUCAAAUAAGUUUCUAAAUUAAUUCCUACAUCCAUUACAACAAUUUGGAGAUCUUUCCAAAUUUAACGUGUGUCAUUAGUUACGUCCCCCCCUCCCAAUUAACACGUUAAUUUGUAAAUAGGGGUAGUUUUGGAAUCCGAAAAAUAUAAUAAAUCAGAUUUUAAGCUAGAUUAGGUAAUUUGCUUACUUGGAUCCUAAUCAUCGGAUUUUAUUUGAAAAAAUUGAGAAUUUUAAAUAAAUAAAUAAAAGGCUGUAAGUGAUUAAAAAUGAAUUUUAUGGGUCGAAUCUCAAUUUAUUACUAUUGUAUUAAAAGACUAGUAUCCUACUCAAUAAUAUUCACCAAUUCAUUCACAGACUAUUGAGUCUUUUGCAUGGUACCAGAGCGAUAGGGCUCUUGAUAACCACCAUUCUUGCCACUAAACCCUAGUCGUCAUCCUUCCUUUUGAUAACAUCCAUGGGGGAGGAAAACACCAAGAAUCCCUCUGUCAAACCUGAGGCAACGACCAAAUAUGAGGAUCCCAGCCAUCCUAUUUAUCUCCACUAUUCCGAUCAACCUGGAGCUGUUAUUGUCUCCCAACAACUCAAUAAAUAAAAAAAAUACACUUGGAGCCGCACUAUGUCCAUGGCCCUCAAUGCUAAAAACAAAGAGGGCUUCAUCGAUGGAACCAUCACAAGGCCACUCAACGCCUCCCCCACAAAACACCAACAAUGAAACUGCUGCAACAAGUCUUGGCUUCUCAACUCAGAUGAAAUUGGUGCUUACAUUGAUGUUGCUUGUGAAAUUUGGAAUGACCUGAAGGAACACUUUUUCACAAGAACAAUGUUCACCUCUUCCACAUUGAGCAAUAGAUACAUGGUUGUGUCCAAGGAAGUAUGAACAUUGGUGCUUAUUAAAGGCCUCUGGGAUGAGCGAGAUGCACUAUGUUCUAUUCUGUUGUGAAAUUAUUGCAAGCGCACAAUUCGUACAAGUGAUAUAUAAAUAAGUAGAGUGUCGGUCCCACAGUGACUGUAAUUUCCUAUUAACUACCAAUUAUGAUUAAUUUAGAAUUUAUUUGAACAGUUAAUCAAGAAGAUUGAUUGAUUUAAGUAAGCUAAAAUAAUUAUGAAAAAUAGCGAUUUAAUUAAUGUUGGAAAAUCAAGAUGAUGAGACACUAGCGCAUCCGAUUUCACCGUAACCAAUUCCAUUUAAUUCUUAUAGCCAAUUAACCCUAAUUACUACCCAUGUUGACAAUUGGUUUCUCCUAAUUCAUUCGAUAUCCCCUCUCGGGCUCAACCACAAGUAUUCUUAAUUAACAACCCAUUCUCUCUCGAGCAGCGGAUUUAGAAAAUCAAGAACCACUACUACAUUUUAGUAUUUGCGUGACGAAUCCAAUUUCGUCGCGCAGACUAACAUAUAGUCGCACGAAUGCAAGCGCGACAUAAAAAUCGUCGCGCGUUAUCUGUUGCGCAAAGAUCGUGAAGAAAUACUUUGCGCGACCGAUUCUACCACUCGUCGCGCAAUUUUGAGCGACGGUUAUCCUUCGUUACACAAAAGGUUCAGAGACGACGAAAACGUUCGUCGCACAAAAUUACGCGCGACGAAAGUAGAUUCGUCGCCACAACAAUGCAUGGCGAAUAAUUUUCAUCGCGCAAUACGUCUCAUAGACAUUUGCGGCACCAAGAGUUCAUCGUCGCGCAAUUCGGGUAACCUUUUGCGCGACGGCAAAUUUCGUCGCGCGAUACAUGCCCAAAAAAUUUGCGCGACGCAAUACUGUUGUCGCGGAAAUCCAUUUUAGCGACGAAAACGUCCGUCGCGCAAAAAUAAUUAUAUGUAUUUAAAAAAAUGAAACAUUAUUUUUUCGGAAUAUAUAAAUUUGCGCGACGACAAAGCUUUCGUCGCGCAAAAUUAAUAUAUACAUUUAUUAUAUAAUUAUAAUAUUACUUUUGUUUUAUUUUAUAAAAAAAUAAAUUUGGUUUUUUUUUUUGGGUAAUAAAAUGAAAUUCCAAUAAUAAAAAAAAUUGAAGUCAAUAACAAAUUUAUUAUAUAAAAUAAAUGUAUGCUACAAGAGAAAGAUUUAAAAAAUAAUUACGAAAAUAAAAAAACUAAUCGAAUAAUGUUCCAAAAUCUACAUUAUCAUCUGGCACAUGCGGUGCAGAGGUCUGGGGGUCUACAGGGGCCGGCGUUUGGUGGGGAUGCUCGGGAUGGACGGGCUCGGAGGUCGGCGCAUCAAAAUGCGGGACUGGAAUGUCGGACUGUGCGAGGGACUGCAGAAUGAUCGACAUCUGACUCUGAAGAGUGGCCACCUGUGCUGUCAAAGCAGUGACUUGACUGUUUGACUGCGCUGAUGAACGGGGUCUGGGUUCCCUCCGCCUGGCAUUCCCCAUCCCUUAACAAUAUGUCCCCGGUCUCCUCCCUAGAGUCUGAUCCAAUGUCUCCGUCAAGAUCUGAAACUCAGCAUCCUGUGGAGGAUCCACAGACUCGAUCGGAGUAUCAGGAGGAAGUUGGGAGGCGGACUCCUGAAGAACCAACUGGCUCCUCUCCACCAUCGUCGUCUGUUUAGCAUAACAUAAAAUAUAAAUUCAAACCUUCAUAUAAUAACCUUUAAAGUUGAAUGCGUAACAUAAGAAUUAAAAUUAAAUAAUACUUACAUGAAGGGACUCGGCCAACUCAUUCCCAGGUCGAACAUAAACGUCGCCAAAGACAUCGAUCUCUGGGAAUUUGGACCCCCCCAAAUUGAACAAAAGAAGAAAAAUAUUAGUACGAAAACAUAAAUUAAAGAAUAAUGAAAAAGUAAAAAUUAAAUAAAAAUUAUUUUAUUAUUACCUGACGUCGUGCAUCCAUCUUAUACGAGAAGGGCCUGGAACUCGAAUGAUGGAGAAGAGUCUUCUUCUUCCUAUUGCCCUUAUUGAUUUUGGCUUUAUUAUGUUAUACAAAAAAUAAAACGUAUUAGUUGAAAUUGAAAUUAAAUAUAAAAAAUUAAAAAAACAUUAGUAAGAAAAUAAAAUUAAAUAUAAAAAAUUACCACAAAAGCGGGCGCCUGAAAAUGAGCGCAGAGCCACGCCCAACUAUCCUCCAGGGCCUCAAGCUCUUUCGGGCAACCCUCUUGAAGAGCGACUUGCGGAUCAACAAACGCCUCAAAAUGGUGGUGCAAGUCGCUCUUCCACUGUUUGUACCUCUCAGAGAAGAGUCUGUUGACGUACGCCAACGACUCUUCGUCAAGGUCCUCCAAGUUGUAGUUCGUCUGCAAUAAAUUAAUUACAUACAUUUAAAUAAUAUAAAUAUAACGUUUGAAAGAAAAAGAAUGAAAAGGCCUACAUACCGACAACUGGCCGCGAACCUCAGUCUUGGUCUCGUCAGGCAUCACCUUCCAAGACUUCCAUUGCAUCGGGCAAUAGCUCCGAAUCACAUAACCAAUGUCGUGGGCCAAGGAGCUAUGCAACUCCACCGUCGGUGUAGCCCGAUGUCGCUCGUCGUAUCCGAUGUUGAUACGACUGUUGGUCACCCAGGUGACCUUCGCCGUCUUCAACUGCCGACACGGCCCUCGAGUGUUCUUCUUGGCUGCAAAGAAAGAUGACAUGAAUGUUAAAUAAAUAACAAAUUUAACAAUAAAAUACACACACACAAAAACAAAA
rnacentral:lncRNA from 1 species